rnacentral:rRNA from 1 species
GACGAACGCUGGCGGCGUGCUUAACACAUGCAAGUCGAACGGAAAGGCCCUGCUUUUGUGGGGUGCUCGAGUGGCGAACGGGUGAGUAACACGUGAGUAACCUGCCCUUGACUUUGGGAUAACUUCAGGAAACUGGGGCUAAUACCGGAUAGGAGCUCCUGCUGCAUGGGGGGGGUUGGAAAGUUUCGGCGGUUGGGGAUGGACUCGCGGCUUAUCAGCUUGUUGGUGGGGUAGUGGCUUACCAAGGCUUUGACGGGUAGCCGGCCUGAGAGGGUGACCGGCCACAUUGGGCCUGAGGUACGGCCCAGACUCCUACGGGGGGCAGCAGUGGAGAACAUUGCACAAUGGGCCGAAGCCUGAUGCAGCAACGCCGCGUGCGGGAUGACGGCCUUCGGGUUGUAAACCGCUUUCGCCUGUGACGAAGCGUGAGUGACGGUAAUGGGUAAAGAAGCACCGGCUAACUACGUG